GGAGAAAGGGGCAGGGUAUGUAGGUAGGUAGAAAGAGGAAAAGGAAAAAAAUGUUGUAAUUAUAAUCUCAAACUGAAGAGUAGUCUAAUCAAUAAUACCUAGAGCUUUAUCCUUAGUAUGUGACAGUAUUGUUAAUGUACUUAACAUUGAAGUUCUUCUCAUUAAAAGAAUAGUUUUCUUCAACUUAUAAAACAUUACUUUUAUCAUAAAGCAUAUGCCUUGCUAUUCUGGCAACAGCUUCAUACAUUUUUGUCUUUUAGAUCUACUGACUAUAUCAAGAGUGAAAUGACUUACCCAUCCACAGGUUUCUGUAUGAAGGAGCAAUCAGGAGCCAAAGACAGAGAUGCCACAGGCAAGCAGUGCCGUGAAAAGAAGUGAGAAUUUUUCCUAAGAUGAACCAGAGAUGUGGUUUGCACUCAUUUUCUCAAGAUGCUGAAUUUGCUUACUGGCAUUAAGUUAAAAGAAAAUAUUUUCUGGUGAUUAUAAUGCAAGGUGAUUGUCA
rnacentral:lncRNA from 1 species